UAGCCCAACGGGAAUGGGGUGGUCGUACCCAACGGAGCGUCGUCACGGGCUCACGGGACAGAGCCCCGAGUCCCCAAUUGCUUCCGGUUCCUGCUCCCCGGCGCUGCCGCCGCCGGCUCUCCGCUCACUCACUCAGGUGGUCUUAGCGCUCCAUCGAAUCGCUGCAAUCUUCCUGCCGGUCGUUUCCCUAUCGCCAUCGACGGCCAGCCCUCCCUGUCCGGCGGCUCGUGGACUUUUGCCUCUGAUUUCCGGUGGAUCAUCCUCGUCGGCGCCUCCACACGAGGAUGCCGUUGUACUGAUUCAGAGUUCCAAUGGACAACCUUGAGAACACGUCAGAGGACAAAGGCUUAAAUUUUCAGUGCAAUCUAUCUGACAUAGAGGUCGUACAUAGCAUGACACAGCUCUUACUUCAUGCAUUGGCCACAGCUUCAGUGGACAGCACCACUGGUGAUAUGUUCAAGAGCCCAGCAUCUGUAGCUAUUGGCAUGAAGUCCGAACUAUCAGGGUACAUGAUUCAGAGAUCUGAAACACUUGUUCGCGAAUCUAUGGAUGGAGGCGAGGAUCAUUCAGAUAAAUUAACAAAAGCAUCCUCCAGGCCGACGGAGUUCCUGUCAGACUUGAUCGAUGAGUUUGUGACCUCAAAAAGGGGCAUGCUGAGCCAUGUCUCUGGGCUUUUUUCUAGCGAAAGCCGCCUGAACAAAAUUAAAGACUUCAUGCAAAAGUUAGAGACGGAUAACUCAUGGGCCCAGGAUGAAAGGAAGGCGACUGCAUGGGCUAUUCUGGAGAACAUAGACAGUAAAGGCAUUUUCCAUUGCCCCGAGAGGUUUGACAUGCCAGAUAAGCUAGCUGAGCACACAAGUCAAUGCAAAUUUAGGAUACUGAAUUGCACAUAUGAUGGAUGUGUAGCUUCUUUCUGUGCUAUUCAUAUCGAAAAGCAUGACACUGUCUGCCCAUUCAAGCUCCUACCAUGCGAGCAGCUGUGUGAACAACAUGUUAUGCGGUCUGAGAUGGACAAACAUUGUGGAACAGUUUGCCCUAUGAAGCUUACCAACUGCCCGUUUUUUAGAAUUGGCUGUGAAACAGCCUUUCCACAGUGUAAUCUUGAUAACCAUUGUUCGCGGUUUCUACAAACCCAUUUGAUGUAUGUCGUCAAGGUGAUUACAAGACAGGGUGAUUGUGUUAAUGAUAUGGAUCAACGGCUGCAACUCCUUGAGAAGGUGCAAUCAUUGAACGAACUCGCUGGGGCUUUAGAUGUCAAGGCCCUCACUCUGAUUACAAAGGAACAAGAAUCAAAGAUAAAUAAACUCGAACGGGAUCUCAAAGCCCAAGAAACAAGGAUGAAGAAACUCGAGAACGAUCUUAGGUCACGGAAAUAAUGAUUGCUGUCAUGUGCUCAUCAUUGCAGCCUUACUGGAAACCAGGAGUAUCUUUUUACCUUCUCAACAGUCAACACUUAGUCGGAAGCAUUUUGUGUGCGGUGGACCAUUGUAGGUCGUUUUAACAGCAAAUUUUCAUGGAGGACAUGUUGCAAUAGUAUCAUCAUUGGCUUGGCUCUUCGACGAGGCUUUCAGUCCGUUAUGCUGAAGAUGUCACCACAAUAUCUUCCCUAUUUGGCCCAUUUGACUCAGCUUUGACGUCAUAAUCACUGGCAGCCUCCAAAAUCUCGCAAACUUCUCUCCUGUACUGCACCAGAAGGUCCAGAUCAUGUUAGGAAGACAUUGUCAAAUGCUGUUUGUGGAACAUGAAAGUACAGUUUCCAUUUACCUAUAUCGUUUCUAUUGUUUACAUUAAUUGAGGGUUGUGUGGUGCAGAUUAACUUGGAGUCAUUUUAUCAUCUUCUUGUCAUAUUCCUAAUCAGUGAUGUCUAACAACUAAGAGGUUGCCUGAAGCCCGGACAUUUUGUUCUUUCAUCAAUUGUUAUCAGAUUGAUCCCUUUAAUCUGAAUUAUGAUGAAAUAACUUCUGAAUGCUGGAUAUUCCAAUACAGUUAUUAUUCAAAGUGGGCGAAUGGUUAGAAUCCUAAACUAUGCCAUUUCUUCCAUGUUACAGAUGAGAAUUAUCAGUACUCCAUCUUGCCAGCAUGGAGACCUUAAAAUGAACAAGAUGGUUUCUUUUGUCGUUUGAGAAAGAAGCAUGCUGCAAUUCAGUUACUGCAGUGUCUGGAGGACACAAAGGACUGUGGCAUAGUGACCUGAAAGUUACUUCCCGAACAUUUCCACCGUACUCAUCUGAGACAUGCCACUUACUCAGCUGGAGAAAAUAAGAACAUUUGACUGUUACGUCAUCUAAUGCUAGCAGCAACCAACUUGGUAAGUAAAAUUGAGACCAUGAAAAGGAUACGCCAAUAGCGCAAUUGACAAAAUACACCUUUAAAUCUGUAUCUUUUCGUGCAUUUCGGUACUGCUGGAAAAACAUUGCAUCGUCACCUAGUAUCACAGUGAAAAACUUCUCAGGUGUACCAGGAAAGGUAUUCUGAAAAAUCAUACCAUGUUGAAAAUUAGGGAAACGAAAAGUAAAUAUGCAUAUUUAAAAAUAGAAAAUUAACUGGGAUGCUCACACUGGUUAUGUCUACAAGAACAUGUUCAUUGAUGAAAGGUUGAAAUGUGAUAGUCAGUCCAAUUCUUCUGUCUUCUGUCUUCUGUCUUUAUGUUGUCUGUUCUGCUGCUAAUAACAUUCAUACUCUCUCCUUUAAGAAGCAAAUGUGAACCCAUCUGCUUGUACAAGUACAGGUUGUCAGGUGGUUUCCCCAGAAGCAAAUGAAAAGACCAAACAAGAUUACUUUCUGAAUACCUGCUUUUCGGCUUCCAAUGUUGCUCGGUAACUCUGCAGCGCUGUCUCUAGAGCUCGAAAUGUACGGUUUCUGUUCCAGAAGGAUGUGAACUUGUACCUUACGCUUCCUGAACCAUUAAGACAAGGAUGAUCAAUAGAAAAAUCUAUAAAUAGUUUUGCCACAUGGAAGAUGAAAACAACAACAGCAGAUCUAUAUUUCUAGGACUUGUUUUGCUGUUGGUGCCUUCGAUAGUAAAGAUUUACCCGUGAAGGAGUAUCAAAUUGGAAAUGGUCUAGUCCAGGCUCUCUUGGAGUUAAAAUUUCAGAAAUCAGACAUAUAAUCCAUAAUAACACCUGGUUUUCCAAUUAGGCAUGUGACUGAAAUCUUCUAAAUUUUCAGAAAGCGUACACAUCGAAUCCAUGAUAGUAUCUAGUUUUACAACUAGGGGUGUGAUUUAUCUAACUUUGUAAAAAGAUUCCAUCGAAAAAUAAUUCAUAAUCUUGGUUCCAAGGAGGAUGCCCAAGAUUACGCCAACAGAAAAUAGUUUACCAUUUUGGCAGCACAAUGGAGAUACUCCAUGACCACCUGCGCCGGUACGGAGAAAUAUAGUAAUAGCUGGGUUUAUAAGGGAGUGCUGGCUCCUCCUUAUCUGUGGGGUGAAAUCAUGCAUGUGUCAACCAUCUCAACCAUUUAAAAUCAAAUACUAAGGUCAUAAUAAGAGCUUCAUAGGUUGCAUACCUCAUAUAUGUCUUGUAACGGAAUGAUCACCUAAAAAUAAUUGGAUAAUAAGAAAAUUAUAUAAGGAUGAAUUUGUGAACAGAGAAAAGAAUCUGAACUUGCUUGUCAAUAUAUCCAUACUGUACCGAUUUUCUGCAGCAAUGGCCUGAUUAGUGUGUGUUAGUUAGCAAGAUUUAUAUAAUUGAGUGACAAUUUAUUACCUCAUGGAUUUUCAGACGUGGCUGAUAUUAUUUACCUUGCUCAUAAGUUAAAACCAUGCAAAGAUCAGUUUGGGGUUUGCACUUUUAGAACAUGUACUUACAUUUAAUUGCUUGGAGAAUACGUGUGACUGGAAGCACAGAUGCCAUGAGGAGAUGCACAUACGCCCAUAGCGCAAGAAAGACCUCUCCAGAGCACAAGAAUAACUGUGGUGAACAAUCUGAAAGUAGGAAGGCAAUCAUUCGGUUCACGUGCAGAGGACCACUGUCUUCAGUCAUCGCCAACUGUUGCCUAGUGAGUAUCAUCUCUCUCUGGGACUUGGCUCCAGUAUACUGCUUAAAGAAGCUGGAAACAUUUGGUGAAAUAAGAAGGGUGUUUGCCUACCUUCACAAAUAACGCUGUUUGUAUUUCUCAAAUCAAUGUUACCUGUCAGAAGUCGACAACACUUUCUUUGAGCUAAUACGCAAGCAGAUCUGCAACCAGAUACUUGUGUUGUGAGCGGGAUUGUACAUGCGGUGGCUACUGUGAUGAAGCACUGAGAUGAGGAAGUCUGGUUAUUAUUCAUAAAUGCAUAUCCUACCUGACCAGAUCUGCUGUCCAGGUCGUACCAAACGGCUCCUGUUUCAUCUUCAGCGAGGAUGGCUACAGUUACAGAUCCGAUGACUUUGCGUUUGCAUACAUUGUCCCAGUCAUAAACUGUUAUGGUUACCUAUCCAGAAAAAGUAAAAAAUACAUCACACUUUUGAGCAAGCACGUGUCUCUGGCAUCAAAUGCGUGCCUCGGCUUAUUUUUUCGAUUUUUUUAUUUUUUUUGCCGAAAACGUCUCAGUUCCAGCUUCU